AAAAUAAAAUUUUAAUAAAUAACGUAUUUCUUUUUCUAAUUUUUCAAUUAAACACAAUUUCAAGAAGUGUUAGCAAAAUGAAAUCUUCCUAAAUGUCAAAAAUAGUAAGUAAAAACGGUAUAAAUGAAAUCUGGUAGAUUUCGGUCAUGUGUAAAUGGGGUAUAAGCAAUUUAUUUUCCCCUGGGGUGUUGCCACUUAAUUCCCAAAAACUCGAAUUUUUUUCUCUGCCGUUGCUAUUUUUGGUUACUACCCUACAAGAAAUGUAUGACCGAAACUAACACAUACAAAAUGAUUUUACUAACACACUUGCAACAUUUUUCUUUAAAAAUUGCAAAAAAAAAAAAUAGUUAAUGGAUAAUUCCAUCAAUAAUGACGGUCAAAUGACCGGUAAAAUGACUGUUGAUGUACUCAAUGUGUGAUAAAGGGUUUCAUUUGCAUAUGAAGGAGUGAAACAACUACAUUUGACUGUUACUGUGUUUUCCGUCGCAUAAAUUAAUUAUUUCAGUGAAAGCCAAAGAUCAAGGAGCAAAAAAUUAAAAAAAUUGAGACUAACAUUAUUAAAAAUAAAGAGAUUUAUUAUAAUUUAAAAACGGUGCAGGAAGUGGAGCUGAGAAUAUACACUUCGGAGUUUAAUCUAUUUGUGACAAUUUAUUUCCACAAAUUAAAAGGAGCAUAGGAGGAUUUUACAUUCUGUGAGGUAUGUAAAAUGGUGAAAUGAUAGUUAAUUUAUGUAUAUUAAUAAAAUUAAAAAUAUAUGUCUUAAAAUGUUAA